GCAAACAUCUUUCGACCAUUACGAAGGAGAAAAGUUUGAGGAGCGAAGAAGAAAGAGAGGGAAGAUGAGGAGACAGACAGACAAAGGACCGUCCAGUGAUGUCCCUCGCGUCCUUCAGUCUGCAGAAAUGGUCGCCGUUGCCUCAGCUCAGCGCCUCCUCAGCCUCCUCGUGGCGGUGGUGUCAUAAAGGUGCACCUCCAGGGUCGCGGCACUGCUCCCUUCGGCCGGCCCUCGCUGGGGUGACACGUUGAGCCUUUCCUGGGCGGGAGUAUUUUUUAUUAGACCAG